GCCGGGGUGGCCGAGCGGCUAAGGCGGCGGGCUGCAGACCCGCUUUGUGUGGGUUCAACUCCCACCCCCGGCUCCA
rnacentral:tRNA from 1 species